rnacentral:rRNA from 1 species
GAUGAACGCUAGCUACAGGCUUAACGCAUGCAAGUCGAGGGGCAUCACGGUGUAGCAAUACACUGGUGGCGACCGGCGCACGGGUGAGUAACACGUAUCCAACCUGCCGCAUACUCCGGAAUAGCCUUUCGAAAGAAAGAUUAAUGCCGGAUGGCAUGUGUUUUCCGCAUGGGAGGCACAUUAAAGAUUCAUCGGUAUGCGAUGGGGAUGCGUUCCAUUAGCUUGUUGGCGGGGUAACGCCCACCAAGGCAACGAUGGAUAGGGGUUCUGAGAGGAAGGUCCCCCACAUUGGAACUGAGACACGGUCCAAACUCCUACGGGAGGCAGCAGUGAGGAAUAUUGGUCAAUGGACGAGAGUCUGAACCAGCCAAGUAGCGUG